UACAGAGGGGGCAAGCGUUGUUCGGAAUUACUGGGCGUAAAGGGCGCGUAGGCGGCCUGUUAAGUCGAACGUGAGAUCCCCGGGCUCAACCCGGGAACUGCGUCCGAUACUGGCAGGCUUGAAUCCGGGAGAGGGAUGCGGAAUUCCAGGUGUAGCGGUGAAAUGCGUAGAUAUCUGGAGGAACACCGGUGGCGAAGGCGGCAUCCUGGACCGGCAUUGACGCUGAGGCGCGAAAGCGUGGGGAGCAAACAGG
rnacentral:rRNA from 1 species